rnacentral:tRNA from 1 species
UAGAAAAUGGUGUAAUGAGGCACGGGGAGUUUUGAUCUCCUUGGAAGAGGUUCGUUACCUCUUUUUCUAG